rnacentral:rRNA from 1 species
UACGUAGGGAGCGAGCGUUGUCCGAAGUUACUGGCGUAAAGCGCGCGUAGGCGGGCCAUUAAGUGAGAGGUGAAAUUCCAGGGCUCAACCCCGGAACUGCCUCUCAUACUGUUGGUCUUGAGUGAGGUAGAGAGAAGUGGAAUGGCUGGUGUAGCGGUGAAAUGCGUAGAUAUCAGGAGGAACACCGAUGGCGAAGGCAGGUCUCUGGGCACUACUGACGCUGAGAAGCGAAGACACGGGGGAGCGAAACAGGG